UGGGGAAUAUUGCACAAUGGGCGAAAGCCUGAUGCAGCAACGCCGCGUGAGUGAUGAAGGCCUUCGGGUUGUAAAGCUCUGUCUUUUGGGACGAUAAUGACGGUACCAAAGGAGGAAGCCACGGCUAACUACGUGCCAGCAGCCGCGGUAAUACGUAGGUGGCAAGCGUUGUCCGGAUUUACUGGGCGUAAAGGAUGCGUAGGCGGAUUUUUAAGUGAGAUGUGAAAACCCUAAGCUUAACUUGGGGACUGCAUUUCAUACUGGAAAUCUAGAGUGCGGGAGAGGAGAAUGGAAUUCCUAGUGUAGCGGUGAAAUGCGUAGAGAUUAGGAAGAACACCAGUGGCGAAGGCGAUUCUCUGGACCGUAACUGACGCUGAGGCAUGAAAGCGUGGGUAGCAAACAGGAUUAGAUACCCUGGUAGUCCACGCCGUAAACGAUGAGUACUAAGUGUAGGAGGUAUCGACCCCUUCUGUGCCGCAGUUAACACAAUAAGUACUCCGCCUGGGAAGUACGAUCGCAAGAUUAAAACUCAAAGGAAUUGACGGGGUCAUAGCUGUUUCCU
rnacentral:rRNA from 1 species